UACGAAGGGGGCUAGCGUUGCUCGGAAUCACUGGGCGUAAAGGGUGCGUAGGCGGGUCUUUUAAGUCAGGGGUGAAAUCCUGGAGCUCAACUCCAGAACUGCCCUUGAUACUGAGGAUCUUGAGUUCGGGAGAGGUGAGUGGAACUGCGAGUGUAGAGGUGAAAUUCGUAGAUAUUCGCAAGAACACCAGUGGCGAAGGCGGCUCACUGGCCCGAUACUGACGCUGAGGCACGGAAAGCGAUGGG
rnacentral:rRNA from 1 species